GAUGAACGCUGGCGGCGUGCCUAAUACAUGCAAGUCGAGCGAACAGACGAGGAGCUUGCUCCUCUGACGUUAGCGGCGGACGGGUGAGUAACACGUUGAUAACCUACCUAUAAGACUGGGAUAACUUCGGGAAACCGGAGCUAAUACCGGAUAAUAUCUUGAACCGCAUGGUUCAAUAGUGAAAGACGGUUUUGCUGUCACUUAUAGAUGGAUCCGCGCCUCAUUAGCUAGUUGGUAAGGUAACGGCUUACCAAGGCAACGAUGCGUAGCCGACCUGAGAGGGUGAUCGGCCACACUGGAACGGGGACACGGUCCAGACUCCUACGGGAGGCAGCAGUAGGGAAUCUUCCGAAAUGGGCGAAAGCCUGACGGAGCAACGCCGCGUGAGUGAUGAAGGUCUUCGGAUCGUAAAACUCUGUUAUUAGGGAAGAACAAAUGUGUAAGUAACUAUGCACGUCUUGACGGUACCUAAUCAGAAAGCCACGGCUAACUACGUG
rnacentral:rRNA from 1 species